rnacentral:rRNA from 1 species
GACGAACGCUGGCGGCGUGCUUAACACAUGCAAGUCGAACGGAAAGGCCCUGCUUUUGUGGGGUGCUCGAGUGGCGAACGGGUGAGUAACACGUGAGUAGCCUGCCCUUGACUUUGGGAUAACUUCAGGAAACUGGGGCUAAUACCGGAUAGGAGCUCCUGCUGCAUGGUGGGGGUUGGAAAGUUUCGGCGGUUGGGGAUGGACUCGCGGCUUAUCAGCUUGUUGGUGGGGUGGUGGCUUACCAAGGCUUUGACGGGUAGCCGGCCUGAGAGGGUGACCGGCCACAUUGGGACUGAGAUACGGCCCAGACUCCUACGGGAGGCAGCAGUGGGGAAUAUUGCACAAUGGGCGGAAGCCUGAUGCAGCAACGCCGCGUGCGGGAUGACGGCCUUCGGGUUGUAAACCGCUUUCGCCUGUGACGAAGCGUGAGUGACGGUAAUGGGUAAAGAAGCACCGGCUAACUACGUG